UGGAUUCAGACACAGCAAAUACUUUUGCCCAUCACCUGAACGGAAUCCAACCCUUUGUUGAGUUUCUUUCAGGUAUCCUUGGGGUGGAGAGGCUAUCUCUUUAGCCAGCUGAAGACAAAAUGCAGGGGUCUCUUGUGGGGGAAGACUCUCUCCUCUCUCCUAUGCAAAGUCCAGCUUCAAGAUGGAAUUUUGGAGUCACAUGGAGAUCCUCAGUGUGUCUUUGAGAGUAGAAUCCAGCAGCAAGUAAGGUCAUCAAAACUCAGGACAGUGGAUUAACUACUAAUAAAGUGACAUGUACUGCAUGGAACUGUGGGAAGCAACUGAAUGCCUCCAAAAAUACAUUAGCAUUCAUGAGUCAUGCAGGACAACAGUAACAGUGCCCUGCAACAUUUUGAUCAUGGAAAACAGACAAG